rnacentral:rRNA from 1 species
CACGUAGGGCGCAAGCGUUGUCCGGAAUUAUUGGGCGUAAAGAGCUCGUAGGCGGUCUGUUGCGUCCGCUGUGAAAAACUCGGGGUUCAACCCCGAGCCUGCUUCCGAUACGGGCAGACUAGAGGUAUGCAGGGGAGAAUGGAAUUCCUGGUGUAGCGGUGAAAUGCGCAGAUAUCAGGAGGAACACCUGCGGCGAAGGCGGGUUGCUGGGCUGAUACUGACGCUGAUGCGCGAAAGCCAGGGGAGCGAACGGG